GACGAACGCUGGCGGCGUGCCUAAUACAUGCAAGUAGAACGCUGAAGAGAGGAGCUUACUCUUCUUGGAUGAGUUGCGAACGGGUGAGUAACGCGUAGGUAACCUGCCUUGUAGCGGGGGAUAACUAUUGGAAACGAUAGCUAAUACCGCAUAACAAUGGAUGACACAUGUCAUUUAUUUGAAAGGGGCAAUUGCUCCACUACAAGAUGGACCUGCGUUGUAUUAGCUAGUAGGUGAGGUAAUGGCUCACCUAGGCGACGAUACAUAGCCGACCUGAGAGGGUGAUCGGCCACACUGGGACUGAGACACGGCCCAGACUCCUACGGGAGGCAGCAGUAGGGAAUCUUCGGCAAUGGGGGCAACCCUGACCGAGCAACGCCGCGGGAGGGAAGAAGGGUUUCGGAUCGUAAAGCUCUGUUGUAAGUCAAGAACGGGUGUGAGAGUGGAAAGUUCACACUGUGACGGUAGCUUACCAGAAAGGGACGGCUAACUACGUG
rnacentral:rRNA from 1 species